GGGUCAGUAGGUUGGUCGUGCCACCGGUACGUACUGGUCUCACUGAUUCCUCCCUCCUGAAGAACCGUAAUGCCAUUAAUUUGGUGUUGCGGGGAAACAGGACUGUUACUUUGAAAAAAUUAGAGUGUUUAAAGCAAGCUAACGCUUGAAUACAUUAGCAUGGAAUAAUGAAAUAGGACGAUCGAUCCUAUUUGUUGGUUUCUAGGAUUGACGUA
rnacentral:rRNA from 1 species